rnacentral:misc_RNA from 1 species
UUCAUUGCCUACAGCAUUUUAGUUUGUUAUGGCGAGGCUUUCAUGUUUUUCUCAUCUGGGGCUUGGUUAAUGUUUGAAGUGGCCGAACGAUGAAAUUCAAGGGGCUAAAAUGACGGCUGCUCCACCAUCCAUUGAGAAGCCGAAACUCAAAAGCAGUAAAGCAGCUCAUGUAAAGAUGAAAUAAUUCAUCAAAGCUUGGCUUCUUUAUAUAUAUAAA